GAUGAACGCUGGCGGCGCGCCUAACACAUGCAAGUCGAACGGAGAUAACCGUAGCAAUAUGGUUGUCUUAGUGGCGGACGGGUGAGUAACGCGUGAGGAACCUGCCUUUCGGAGGGGAAUAACACAUCGAAAGAUGUGCUAAUACCGCAUAACGUCAUUGGGUGGCAUCAUCUGAUGACCAAAAGAGCAAUCUGCCGAAAGAUGGCCUCGCGUCCGAUUAGAUAGUUGGUGAGGUAAUGGCCCACCAAGUCUGCGAUCGGUAGCCGGACUGAGAGGUUGAACGGCCACAUUGGGACUGAGACACGGCCCAGACUCCUACGGGAGGCAGCAGUGGGGGAUAUUAGUCAAUGGAGGAAACUCUGAACUAGCGACGCCGCGUGAGGGAAGAAGGUCUUCGGAUUGUAAACCUCUGUCUUCGGGGACGAUAAUGACGGUACCCGAGGAGGAAGCCCCGGCUAACUACGUG
rnacentral:rRNA from 1 species